rnacentral:rRNA from 1 species
AUUGAACGCUGGCGGCAUGCCUUACACAUGCAAGUCGAACGGUAACGCGGGGCAACCUGGCGACGAGUGGCGAACGGGUGAGUAAUGCAUCGGAACGUACCCAGUAGUGGGGGAUAGCCCGGCGAAAGCCGGAUUAAUACCGCAUACGACCUAAGGGUGAAAGCGGGGGACCGUAAGGCCUCGCGCUAUUGGAGCGGCCGAUGUCAGAUUAGGUAGUUGGUGGGGUAAAGGCCUACCAAGCCUUCGAUCUGUAGCUGGUCUGAGAGGACGGACCAGCCACACUGGGACUGAGACACGGCCCAGACUCCUACGGGAGGCAGCAGUGGGGAAUUUUGGACAAUGGGCGAAAGCCUGAUCCAGCCAUGCCGCGUGCGGG